rnacentral:rRNA from 1 species
UACGGGGGGAGCAAGCGUUGUUCGGAUUUACUGGGCGUAAAGGGUGCGUAGGUGGCGCCGUAAGUCGGGUGUGAAAUUUCGGAGCUUAACUCCGAAACUGCAUUCGAUACUGCGGUGCUUGAGGACUGGAGAGGAGACUGGAAUUCAUGGUGUAGCAGUGAAAUGCGUAGAGAUCAUGAGGAAGACCAGUGGCGAAGGCGGGUCUCUGGACAGUUCCUGACACUGAGGCACGAAGGCCAGGGGAGCAAACGGG